rnacentral:rRNA from 1 species
UACGUAGGGGGCAAGCGUUGUCCGGAAUUAUUGGGCGUAAAGCGCGCGCAGGCGGUCUCUUAAGUCUGAUGUGAAAUCUUGCGGCUCAACCGCAAGCGGUCAUUGGAAACUGGGAGACUUGAGUACAGAAGAGGAGAGUGGAAUUCCAUGUGUAGCGGUGAAAUGCGUAGAUAUAUGGAGGAACACCAGUGGCGAAGGCGACUCUCUGGUCUGUAACUGACGCUGAGGCGCGAAAGCGUGGGGAGCAAACAGG